AGUUACUGUCAUUAAAGGUGCAGUAGGUACGCCUUCUAAAACUAUCUUUCUGUCAUAUCUGCUAAAACUGCCCUCUGUUGGAGUAGAACUGCACGAAGCCGUUCGGCUCCUCUGGCUCCACCUACAGCCUGUAGUGCGACUUGCAAAAAUCCGACGCUCCCUGUUCAGAUGCACCAAUCAAGGCCGGGAGGGUGCCUAACUGCAUGUCAAUCACUGCUCAUUCUCCCUUGUGGGGGGAGGGGUGUAGGAGACCGUUUUGGGCAUUAGGAGAGACUGAGAAGUUGUCAAUAUUCCCAUUUUUUGGCUAAGUCCUGAAUCUUCCCAAUCCUCCCUACUGCACCUUUAAGUAAUAUCAAGAUGGAAU